rnacentral:rRNA from 1 species
CCUACGGGUGGCAGCAGUGAGGAAUAUUGGUCAAUGGCCGGGAGGCUGAACCAGCCAAGUCGCGUGAGGGAAGACGGCCCUACGGGUUGUAAACCUCUUUUAUAAGGGAGCAAGGUGCAGGUCGGGUCCCGCUGUGAGAGUACCUUAAGAAAAAGGAUCGGCUAACUCCGUGCCAGCAGCCGCGGUAAUACGGAGGAUCCGAGCGUUAUCCGGAUUUAUUGGGGUAAAAGGGAGCGAAGUGGGGUUUUUAAGUCAGUGGUAAAAUUGUGGGGUUAAACCCCAAACAGCCGUUGAAACUGGGGAUCUAGAGUAUGCGAGAGGUAUGCGGAAUGCGUGGUGUAGCGGUGAAAUGCAUAGAUAUCACGCAGAACCCCGAUUGCGAAGGCAGCAUACCGGUGCACAACUGACGCUCAGGCACGAAAGCGUGGGUAUCGAACAGGAUUAGAUACCCUUGUAGUC